CCCAGAGUUCACCUACUAAAUCAAAGGCAACUUCUAGUGGAAAACAAAAUGAGACAAAGGGAAAGAUAAGGUUAUAAAGGAAAUUCUGGAGGCAACAACAUGAGUAGUCAAUAACUGGGACCACAUCUGCCUGAUGGAAAUCCAGCAAGUAAGAUUUGCCUUUCCCAGGCAGAAUCCAAGAACGAAGGGAAAACUCAAAUACUUGAAUACAGAGAGGAACUGGGAGCAUGGAUUUUCAACAUGUGCACACAGCCACCCAGAAAGCAGAGGAGACUACUUCCUAUAAUCAGAAAUGGGAGCAAGUAGAAAGAGAGAAUCACUCCAGAACGUAGGAAAGAGCCAGACUGCAGAUUUCUGAUAUGCAUAGAGAUGAACUGUUUGAUGUGGAAGUAACCUACGCUGGGAGCACCUAGGUAACAUACAGGGUGGUACGUAUGCACACAUGCAGAAUGCAGGGCUGACAUUGGAUCAUUCAGGUUGAAUAUCAUAGUUCAGUGAUUCUCAGUGCCUCAUUUCAAAAUAGAUUGCCUAAGCAGUCAGAAGUCUAAUUUUAGCUAUUUUGAUGUAAAUCUAGCUAAUUUUGAUAUGCUGUAUAUAGUUACUCCAAAUAUGAAGGUAGAUAGCAAGUGGGAAUUUCUGCAAGAUUUCACCCAAGGAUACAUCUGGCCUACACAAACAUCAUGUAAUCUAAAAAGUUGGCUGUAGUGUUAAGUUACAAUACUCAUAAAACAGAUUUUUUAUUCAUUUCUAUGAUCUUUAAAUUCAAAAUGUCAAUUGUUGUAUCUCAGAUUUUGUGUUCUCUUAGCAGAAUGGAUUACAUCCUUAACUUUCAACAGAUUAAGAAGUUUACUCUUAUGAAGUUAUUUCCUACUGGUUUAAUGAAUUUGGUCAUAACAAAUUCAAAGAUGGACUUUAUUUGCAGACUCCCAUAACAUGUAUUACAAGUGCUUUUAAAUGUAUUACAAAUGCUUUUAAUUACAUCCCUUCAAAAUUCCAAUUCAAAAAUUUAUUUUUCCUUGGUGUAAAAAGAGAACAGCUGCAAAUCAGCAAUAAUAUCAAAUGAAUCUUACCCCAACAAGCUGAUCAGAGAUUUAAACAAUGAGCUGUGUCCCGUUUCAGUGUAAAUUGGUCAGAAGAAAAAAGGUAAAGUUGUGCUCUUUAUUCUAAUACAGAGAUUUUGGUCAUAUAAAAUCCACUCCGUUUGGCAAAAAUGGUGUCAGGGAAAUGCUCCUGACAAAAGCUGAUGCUGUAUGAGCUGACGCAAAGCAAACAUAGUAAAGAUAUUGCUGUAUAUUCCUUAAACAAAACAAACCACAUCUCAGAAGCAAAGAGAUGUACUAUAAACUUAUUGAAAGAUUUGUAGCCGUAGAGUGAUAGGAUAGAAUUCUCUGAGCGUUGUAUGCCUGAGGGAGGUUUUGUUGACUUGAAUAGAUUUACUCCCAACUGGUACCAGCCUAAGUGAAAAACCAAGAUCUGUAUGUAGACCUUCUGCUGGUUAACUAAAAACCUCAGGGAAAAUUGUAUGACGGCAUUCCUCAUAUUUUCUCCCCCCUAUGAUGUUGAUCAAAUAUGAUCAAAUGCACUGGAAGAUACUUCAUCUUGUUUGCAUAUUUUCUUAUCAUUUUAUGCAAGACACUGGGAAAAAGUUGCAUAAAGUGUCUCUGUGCCUGGAUAACAAACAUGAACUAUUUUUAAGGUGUGCUCAAGGACAGUUCUGCUCAUUUCAGGCUUCCUUUGGUGGUUCAGUCUUUGCAGUAUUUUCAACCACAAUUGUUAUGCAGGACACUAACAGCUAUUGAACAUUUCAUAACAUUUGUCCUUGAAUCACACAAGAGAGUAGCAGCACAAGUUUGAUAACUUUGUUUUAAACUAUAUUAAUGCUACAGAUAUAUAUAUUUUUAAAGUGUAAUUCAUUUCUGACUUAUUUGUGGUGACUUGCAGAGUGGUUAAUUACUGCUUGGAGGCAAAAAUUGCGGCACAGAGGUCAUUAAAAACAGAAAGAUUUAGGGAGUGCAAAAAAAGUCAGGUUUUUAGAACUGGUUAAUUUGUCCAGAAGGGGAUACAUUUUUAUAGCAUGCAUAAAGCAGAAAUAUUUAUCUUGAAGCAAAACCACAGUAUUUUCCUUUCUGUUUUUUAGAACCAACCAUUUGGUUGUUCUGCAAUAUUGUUAGAC
ensembl:lncRNA